UACGUAGGGUGCGAGCGUUAAUCGGAAUUACUGGGCGUAAAGCGUGCGCAGGCGGUUCGUUGUGUCUGAUGUGAAAGCCCCGGGCUUAACCUGGGAAUGGCGUUUGGGACUGCAAGGCUAGAGUGUGGCAGAGGAGACUGGAAUUCCUGGUGUAGCAGUGAAAUGCGUAGAUAUCAGGAGGAAUACCGAUGGCGAAGGCAGGUCUCUGGGCUAACACUGACGCUCAUGCACGAAAGCGUGGGGAGCAAACAGG
rnacentral:rRNA from 1 species